rnacentral:rRNA from 1 species
AUUGAACGCUAGCGGGAUGCUUUACACAUGCAAGUCGAACAGCAGCGCGGACUUCGGUCUGGCGGCGAGUGGCGAACGGGUGAGUAAUGUAUCGGAACGUGCCCAGUAGCGGGGGAUAACUACGCGAAAGCGUAGCUAAUACCACAUACGCCCUACGGGGGAAAGCAGGGGAUCGUAAGACCUUGCACUAUUGGAGCGGCCGAUAUCGGAUUAGCUAGUUGGUGAGGUAACGGCUCACCAAGGCGACGAUCCGUAGCUGGUUUGAGAGGACGACCAGCCACACUGGGACUGAGACACGGCCCAGACUCCUACGGGAGGCAGCAGUGGGGAAUUUUGGACAAUGGGGGCAACCCUGAUCCAGCCAUCCCGCGUGUGCGAUGAAGGCCUUCGGGUUGUAAAGCACUUUUGGCAGGAAAGAAACGUCGCGGGCUAAUACCCCGUGGAACUGACGGUACCUGCAGAAUAAGCACCGGCUAACUACGUG